UGGGGAAUUUUGGACAAUGGGGGAAACCCUGAUCCAGCCAUCCCGCGUGUGCGAUGAAGGCCUUCGGGUUGUAAAGCACUUUUGGCAGGAAAGAAACGUCAUGGGUUAAUACCCCGUGAAACUGACGGUACCUGCAGAAUAAGCACCGGCUAACUACGUGUCAGCAGCCGCGGUAAUACGUAGGGUGCAAGCGUUAAUCGGAAUUACUGGGCGUAAAGCGUGCGCAGGCGGUUCGGAAAGAAAGAUGUGAAAUCCCAGAGCUCAACUUUGGAACUGCAUUUUUAACUACCGGGCUAGAGUGUGUCAGAGGGAGGUGGAAUGCCGCGUGUAGCAGUGAAAUGCGUAGAUAUGCGGAGGAACACCGAUGGCGAAGGCAGCCUCCUGGGAUAACACUGACGCUCAUGCACGAAAGCGUGGGGAGCAAACAGG
rnacentral:rRNA from 1 species